rnacentral:lncRNA from 1 species
UUGGAAUGUAUUGAAUUCAAUCAUUAUUUGAGUAUCUGUAUGGUGUAUGGAAUAUCGAACAACAAUUAAAUCCCAAGCAUAUGAUAUUCUAUGAAUUGAAAUACAGAAUAUAAUAAUUGCAUUGGCAAUAAUUAAAAGUUGUGGAAUAAAUCACUUGCUCUUAAUAAAUAAGAGAAGAAUAGAAAUACUUGCCUUUGCUGAACUCUACUGUCACUUGCUUUAAAGCUUGGAGUCACGAACAACUCUUGAAUCUAUAAAUCAAAAGUAUUGAUUCAAUCACUCGAGUGAACUUGAUAGACGUAAUCAUACGUCUCGAGAAAUAUAAACUACCCAAUCGAUUAUACUAAUCAUGGUAUUGUCACAUUUUUCACGUAUCAUAUAAUCAAGCAUUGCAUAUAAUAAUAUAGGAUUUAUGUUGUCACGUACCACGUGUCGGUUCUAGUACAGGUAUUCAUUUCAGUUAUGAAUCUAACUAAAAUUAAUUAAUCAACUCCUGGUGGACCAGACAAGAUGCUCAUGCUUUUUAAUAACAGAUCAUUCACUAACUAGCAAUCCAAUCUGACCACCAAGUCACCAGUUACCAUAUAAUCAUGUUAUCACUUAACAAUUAACAAGUUAAUCAAAACAGUACCUUAUCAUUAUAUUCAACUUUAGCACAAUAUCCGCAAUAUUCAAUUAAUAGCAAUCCGGAACCUAUUAUUACAUAUAUUAAUUAAUAAUAUUAAUACACUUUGCAUUUAACAUGAAUAUGUAAAAUAUGUAUAUUAAUUUUAUUUAUAUCAUUAAUAUUAUUAUUAUUGUGGGUGCAAUAAUAACAAUAAAAAUAAUAUAAAUAUAAUCAAUACAGAUUUUCUUUUU